rnacentral:siRNA from 1 species
CUGCAAAUGGAACUCAGGGGCU